UAUUCCUUAUCUCUUUUAUUUCAGGGGAUGGAUAAUGAAGGACGGAACUCCAAUGGGCCCAAACCCCAGCCCCUACAACUUGUACAAGCAGCGGGGCAACAAGAGAGUCAUGCUGGACGCCGGGCUCCUGUCUAGGAACAGUGCCAUUGAGAACUUCCUCAACCACUUGGACGCCCAGGAGCAGGCGGCCGAUCCGUGGGGUCCUGGCAAGCGGAAGUAGAGUGAGUCCGGUGGAGCAGCUGCCAGAUAGGCUGACGUCACCGCCCACGCACAGACUACGCAACACCCGCCGGCACGUGCCGGACCAAUCAAAAUCUUAGUUUGUUUGGACUUUUAGUUUUUGCCUUUAUUUUAGUUUCGAAACAAUUUCUACGAUAAAUGCUUAUUGGUUAUUAUGAAGAAAAGUUUCAUCAAUGAUCUGUGAUUGAUUUUUUUCCCAAACGAAUGUGAUAAUAAAUUAUGGAUCGAUAAAGAGGCCAAGAGGUCGAAUGUAUAUUAUAAUUUCUUCUCUAC